CUGGUCCAUCCAUUGUCCACAAGAAGUGCUUCUAAGGUGUUGCUGCUAUUUUUACAUUUGUUCGCGAGUUCUUUUUUAUUUUUUUUGUUCUUUCUGCUAAAGCUAUUAUGUCAUCCACAGUGAACUCAGGUCUGCUGUUAUAGGCAAGUCAUCGAGAUGGGGCUAUCAAAGAAGGGUGAUUAAAAACAUUGUACCGCUGAUACUAUUUCAUGUUUCCAGUGCAAGCCUCUUUUGUAAGUUGACAAACUCGAUUUGUAAAUAUGUUUGGGACUCAACUAGUGGUUAGAGUAUUGAUUUUGUAAGAUUUUUGUCCAGAAAAUCAAAUUAGAAAGAUUACUCGCGAUGAUUGAAUAAGCUCGAAGAAGUGGAUUUGAAUUUCAAUUCGUGUCUUUUUUUUAUGUGUGUGUGUG
rnacentral:lncRNA from 1 species